AUUGAACGCUGGCGGCAGGCCUAACACAUGCAAUUCGAACGGUAGCACAGAGAGCUUGCUCUUGGGUGACGAGUGGCGGACGGGUGAGUAAUGUCUGGGAAACUGCCUGAUGGAGGGAGAUAACUACUGGAAACGGUAGCUAAUACCGCAUAACGUCGCAAGACCAAAGAGGGGGACAUUCGGGCCGCUUGCCAUCAGAUUUGCCCAGAUGGGAUUAGCUAGUAGGUGGGGUAACGGCUCACCUAGGCGACGAUCCCUAGCUGGUCUGAGAGGAUGACCAGCCACACUGGAACUGAGACACGGUCCAGACUCCUACGGGAGGCAGCAGUGGGGAAUAUUGCACAAUGGGCGCAAGCCUGAUGCAGCCAUGCCGCGUGUAUGAAGAAGGCCUUCGGGUUGUAAAGUACUUUCAGCGAGGAGGAAGGCGAUACGGUUAAUAACCGUGUCGAUUGACGUUACUCGCAGAAGAAGCACCGGCUAACUCCGUGCCAGCCGCCGCCGUAA
rnacentral:rRNA from 1 species